AACGAACGCUGGCGGCAUGCCUAACACAUGCAAGUCGAACGAGACCUUCGGGUAUAUUGGCGCAUGGGUGCGUAACGCGUGGGAACUUGCUCUUAGGUUCGGAAUAACUCCCUGAAAGGGGUUCUAAUACCGGAUAAUUUGUUCAUACCAAAGAUUUAUCGCCUUUGGAUGGGGCCGCGUUUGUUUACCUUUUUGUUAGGGUAAAAGCCUACCAAGUCUCCGAUCCAUAGCUGGUCUGAGAGGAUAAUCAGACACACUGGGACUGAGACACGGCCCAGACUCCUACGGGAGGCAGCAGUGGGGAAUAUUGGAAAAUGGGCGGAAGCAUGAACCAGCAAUGCCGCGUGAGUAAUGUAGGCCUUAGGGUUGUAAAGCUCUUUUACCCGGGCAGAUAAUGACAGUACCGGGAGAAUAAGCUCCGGCUAACUCCGUG
rnacentral:rRNA from 1 species